AAUAAGAGAAUUUACCUGCUAUUUAUUUGUAUUGUUUCUUAGGAAAAUACAGAAUAUUCUUGGGUGGUGGCUAAAGAAAUUAUGUUUUCUCUCUUACAUGUUAGCAGACAUAAAAGACAAGAUAAAUGACGUGUUCAUCGAGUUGUCAUAUCCACUGAGACAUUUCAUCUGAGAAAGUCCUGAAAAUGUAUUGAAAUGCAUCCCCACCUAGGAGUGUAAGUCCAUGUGUAGUUGGUUUUUUUGCAAUGAUUCUUCUUUUUCCUCAGAGGUCAGUGUGUAUAUGAUCAGUAUUCCUGAAUGGAGGUACCGUUUUCAUUCACAAGUUAGAAAGAUCUCCUGCAAAGAAAAAAGGUUAAUUAUUUAGAUUCUCACAUGUAUAAUAAAGAUUAUUAAGUACAGACAGGCCUUAGCCAAAACGCCUACCAGGUUUUUUGAUGUGAGUUUUUAGGUCAGAGCCAGUAGACAUACAGAUGUUUUCCUGUCUGGAUUUGAAUGUGUGUAAAUCCAGAGAUUGUUUGAAUCUCAGGUUUGGAUCUUAAUUUUCCAUCUUUACCCAUCUUUCUAAAUAGAUUUUUUAAUCUUGCUGCACCAAAAAAAAAAAAAAAAAAAAAAAAAUUUAAAACUGGCCUUUAGGAACCAAUUGUGAGGCAAUGGGACAGAUCCUUUCAAAGUUAAGAAAAAAACUACAGCUACAAUUUAGAAGUGCACUGUCAAAUUUUUAUUAUUUAUAGAUUAAAUAUUGCUUCAAUUUCUUGUGAAGCUAGUAGACUGCAACAUCUUUGUUAUUCUUGUUACCAUUUUUAUUAUAUUAAAGGGAAAAGGGAACUAAAUGUGAACUGAGUGGACUUGUCAGCACUCAGUGUAUUUCUGUGUAGAUUCUGUGUGAAAAAGAUGAAGAAAUUCUGAGAAUAAAGAAGUCUGACAAAGUGCAGGAAACACUUUACCUCACUAUUCUUCCUCUUUCCAUUUUUUCCCCCAAAUCUUUGUUUGGUUUCCCUUUUUUUUGGCAAAAAUGAUAGAAUGAACAUAUGUGUCAAGUUGAAUAGAGGAAUGACUAUUUAUAGUCCUAUUAAAAAAAAAAAAAUUCACUCUUUGCUGAGUAAAACAACUAAGAAAACUGAAGCCUUAGAAUAGCCAGAAGCAUUUGUUUGACAUGAAAGUAUAUGUACAUGACGUACAGAGGUAGUAUCAUGACUACUAAAGUAGGACAGUGCCUCUGAAGAAGAAGAGGCAACUUUCAUUAUGGUGCAAGCCUUUGCUUCUUUUACCUUAAUCGUCAAGAGCGCUGGCACCCUUAUGUGUGACAUUAUCCUUGCACCCUUACAGUGAUCUUAGGACUAUAUUUUGGUUCGUGCUUUCAUUCAGUACCUCCCCAAGUGUAUACUGCAAAGAGGGAUCCAUUUCUCUGCUUCUCUCCCUGGAAGAACCUCGAAGAUUAAUAUUUCCCCUUUGUAUUAAAUUUAGUGUCCAAUUGCUGCAAAAGCAACAGAGGGAAGACAACUGGUCUCUUGUUUGGAGAUGAGAAGCGGCUAAAGUUGGUCACACCACCUAGGCAAAUCAAAAGGUUUCCAUAGGUUCCUUCCUUUAGGAGUUGUGGGAAUCCAGAAGUUUUCCCCAAAACCGAAGUCAGUACAAGCCACAUGUAUUUUUCAAAUGUCAGUUCAGUAAGUUGCAUAACCAUAAGAAACAUACAAAUGAAUUUCAUAUUUCUGCAAAAUAAUUCACACACACACACACAAAAUUAUAUUAAUACAUCAUGGCACCAAGUCCUGAAAUACUGAGAUGUGUUCAGAACUCUGGUAUUUUCCCUGUGUAGGACAAAGAAAGCAAGCUUUUUUUUUCUUUGUUUGAGGAUUUUUUGUUUGUUUUAUUUUGGUUUUGAAGACAUUUUUUAACUUAAAAAAAGUCAGCAGCAUAUACCACAGAGGCUGAACUGGAAUACAUAUUGUACUUUUGUUUCUAAUAAUCCAAAUACUAUGUCUACACUUAGCAUAAGAAUCAAGGUUUAUUUUAAUUGAUAUUUUAAAUAGGUCUGCCAGAAUAGAUGUUUUAUUGAAGUCGAGGAGAGGAGACUUUCAAUUUAAAGAAAUUUAGAAAAACAUUUUAGGAAAAUAAAUUUGGAUAUAAAAGAUAUUACGAAUGUAUCUUAAUAACAAUAGCUGUACUCCAAAAGAAAUAGCUAAUUUAAUCAUAUUAUAUCAAUUCAAAUAUUAAUUCUUAUGGUUAAACACAACUUUUAAACUACAUUUUAUAUAAAAUAUUUUUCUAUAUUUUAAAUAGUAGGUUGGCUGGUUUUCCAUAGGAGAUUUGUCUAUAUAAUCGGAAGUCACCCCAGGUUUAAAAAAAAAAGAUAAUCAGACCUAUUGAUGCUUUAUCUUUUUUAUGCCACAUAUCAACUACAGACAUAGCCUUCAGCAUUAUGACAGAAAGAGUCUAUGAUAUGAGGUGUCUUCCUUCCCCCAUCUUGCUCCCAGAAAACAUUAUUACUCAGAAAUUUUCACAGCUGGAAAGAGGGUAAAGAAAUAUUUGAAGGCAAUUAUUUUCAAGUAAUUGAUAACUCAUUUUAAUUAAAAUAUUUCUGAAACUGCAUCUGAGCAUUUAGUAUGUAGAGUGCAGUGCAUAGUCUGCUAUAAUGUGGAGUACUAUAAAAUGGAAAAAAGAGCAUCCUGGUUUUGUAAACACAUUUCCAGUGCCUGGAAAAUUCUCUUGCAUGAACUGUUUUGUGUUGUGCCAGGUGCUGCCACCUCUGCAAUCUUUCCUGCAGUAGUUUAUGGCUUUGUCUAAGCUGGGGUGAUUGCGCACGAUGGUUUAUACAAUGACGAAUUGCUCUUCGCAUUUACAGGUCUCGGUACACUGUUAGGUUUAGCACUGCUAUAUAAAGCAUUAAGCUUAUUACAUCCAAAAGAAUUAAAUUAUACUGAGGCAAUUUGAUUACUUGUGUCUAAAGGAAGACACAAUUGCAAUGAGGUAAAAGCUUGAAGUGAAUGUUGUUACAAGUAAUGCUUUGCAAUUAAAGAAAUGUAAUUUCUCAAGCAUUUUCAUGAAAUAUGUUUUCCCUUUUAUUCAGUUCAUUUGCCAUCCCUGUAAAAAUGUCUUUUGACUUCCAGAUGUUUCAAAGUAUGAAAGCUGAUUGAGCUUUUUAACCUUAUUUCAGUGUUUAUAUACACUACACAAAAUAUUGUGUUCUCAGUCUGUAUCAGAAAUUCUGGAUUUGUUGGAUUUCUUUCAAAAUGUUAAAUGAUAGACAUAUUUGUUUAAUAUUUUCUUGCAACAUCUAGGUCUGUGUUUGAACUGUAAUACAAAAAAAAUAUAAUAGCAGUUACUAAUUUCAGUCUGCCAAAAUUAAACCUGCGAUGAAUGGAAGCUGGUUGAUAUUUCAUUAGCAUUAUUUUCAGUUGAAGCAAAUGUAAAACAUAAGUGCCUCAUGGUGGUCUGCUAACUGCUGGAGGAGAAAGAAGACUGCUGAAGUAAAAGCAACACUGGGCAAAUCAACAGAUCCCUGCAGAAGCAGGUUAUUAAAAAUCAGCACGUCACCUUCAGAAGCAGGCAGUGAUGCAGUGAUGGCAAGUGCUGUCUCAUGGGCAGCCUUCACAUCACAGCUAUUUUCAGCAAUAUAUAAUUUGAUAAUAAUUUUCAUCUCAGCACAGUUUAGCAUAUUUAUUCCUCCAUAAGUUUUAAUUCCGCUUAAGAGGAAUGAUCCUAUCAACAUAAAGAGGUCGUAAGGAUUGCUGCAUGAUCAGAUUAACCUCUCUUCAGCUUCAUUGCCUCCAAGCUUUAGAUCACUUCUCCUUGAUUUUUAAAACAGUUUGUGUGCUAUUUCCAGGCUACUCUUUCCAAUUUGUUGACAUUAUACUACAUUUAUUUAAUAUUAUCUAUUGUUUUACUUAUCUUUAUUAAUAUUUAUAGGCCUAUUCCCACCAUAUAGCCUGAUUCCACAAGGAUAACAUUACCUAGACACUAUAUUUUAGGGCUUUUCUCCCUCUUUAUUUUUUCAACUUUUUAUUUUGUAACUAGUUGGUUUUACCAUACAUAAAAAGAGUUCACAUUGACAUUAAUAAUGAUCUUUUUCCUUCUUCACAAACUGAGGUGAACAAACAGCUGUUUGCAGAACAGCUGAUUGCAGAACCAGAGCCAUCAGAAGUUCCCUUAAGACUAAAGGGAUACAGAUUUGUGAAUCUUAGCUUACUGUGUGAGAAGUUUGUAAAUGCUUGCUACGGGGCUUGAAAUGAUAGAAGUGAAUUUCCUACUGUGGUUGCUUACAAGAACCCUACACCCUUAUUCUUUCUCAUUGCCUCUGUUGAGUUUGAAACACCUGAUUACUGGGGGUUUUAUUUGGAGAACUUAGAGAGAAUGUUGACUUUGUUUCCAUCCAGGAUAAAAAUAUGUAAUGAAAGAAAACAGACACAACUUAGGGUUUUGCCUAACCAGGGUUUAUGCAGUAUGCUUAUGCUUCAGGACCUGCUUAAGAGUUUUUUAAAUUAGUGCCGUUGUUAUCCAUAUGUUUGCUUGAGAGAUAGUCAGGCAAUAAUUCCUUAACCACAUUUCCAUGAGAAAUCUUCUGUUUUGUAUUGUUUUACAGACAGUAAUAACAUGUCUUCAAAAAAAAUUUGGUAAUCAAUAUAUUGGGUAUCAAUAUAUUGCUACUGGGUUUUGAUAUUGUUAAUUACCUGUAUUGUUGUUAAUUGUGUUUGUAUUUGUAAUAUGGUAUAUUAAGGAAUGUAUGGUAUUCCAUAACUGCUAGAUUUCAGGCAGGAUGUUCAAUUUAAUUCUGACUUUUCAAGGCCCAGGUUCUUAGGAUAAUUCAAAUCUUUGUAUUAAUUACCAUGCAGAAUAUAAAUUGAUGCCUAUUUAUUCAAUCUGGAUAGCUUCAAGUGGAAUAAAUAACACAUGGGAAAUGUGCUAUUCAAAAUCUGAGCCUGAACUGUGUUGCAGUCAUUGUGCAUGAAGCAAAUUUAUAACCAUUUUGAGUAGAGCUGGAUCCAAGCAGUUUAUUUACGUAUGAGACUCGCUUAUUUCAGAAAAUCCACUGAGCACUAAUCCUGACUUUGUUUCAGUUGACAUUGAAAAAAGAAAAAGAAGAUUGCAGUGCUUUCUAAAGUGUUUACUCCAAAGGCUGGAAACCUUAACCCAUGCUCAAAUUAAGGAUUUUUCUUUUGUAGAAAAAACUUGGAGAUGUGGAAGUGUUCAUUUUUUCUAGCAAGUCUGAAUUAUUGCUGUUUCUAUUCAACCCAAAGAAAUAAUUUCUCUUAUGCUCUUCCACCUUUCUUUUUCACCUCUUGAAAAAUAAAAGAGUCUAUAUUUAAGAAUAGGUCUCAAUUUGCACACUAAACCUGCAAUUUUCCAUUGUGUUUACAAGUCAAAAUUAUUUAUAUCUACUAAUUUCAAUCUCUGUGUUUGUUUACUAACAGAGCAAGUGUCACUGUAGGUAAAACUGCAUGUAAGUAUUUUCAGAACUAUUAAAAAAAUUAAUUGUUUUCAUUACAUCUCAUAUCACUUCCCAAGUAUUCAGUUUAGACAUCCUGAGCAUUUUCUUGAAGAAUAUAAUUUCAUUUCAGUAUGAAAGCAAUAAAAGAAGAUAGUUAUACUUCUGGAUUUUUUGCUUGUUUUUCUACUGUUGCUUGUUUUCUCCAUGUCUUCAAAAUAAUCAAAGUUGUGUGUGAUUUCAUGAAUGUGUCUUUGUGUAAGAUACAGCUGCAGAAGAAACAAAAUGGAUUCUGAUGAAGGGUGAGGGAGAUAUUUUCAAUGACUAAUGGCUUUGUAUUGUUGCCUGUCUGCUCAACAGCAAUGCAUUAGACAAAAGAAAUCAAUGAACGAAGACUUUAAAAAGUGAGAUAGAAAGGUACAAUAAUGAUACUGGUACAAAUUCUCUCUACCUCUUCAGAGCUAUAGAUAAAAGUGUUUGAAUAUUGGGUAGAUUAGGAUAAGGAUGCUUGGCAGGAAUAAAACAUAGAUAAAGGAUAAGAGGUUUCAGAGGAAACCACAAAUAUCAAAAAUCCUGCAAAUAGCUGGAAGCUUGAAAAGAAAGAGGAAGCCAUCAAAAUUGUGCCAUUGAUACCAGUUCAAAACAAGAUGAAUUUUUGUUUGUUUUCUUUUAAGUGGAGGGAUUUGCUCACAAAGAGGAUUUAUUUAUUUAUUACUUUUCCCAAAGGCUUUUUACCUUGCAAAAAGUAAUAUAAAUUACUUUGUUUCUAAAAUCAUGUGUGAGCACAAACAUGCUGUGACAAGUUCCCCCAAGGAAAGUCCUGUAGGGUCCAAAUCCCAGCUGAAAUUCCUGAGUGAGCCACGCUGAAUGUUUGCUACCUGACUGCUGGUUGGAGUGACUAGAUUUCAGAAUACUAACUUGAAAGGUAGAAAAGCCUGAGGAUCUGUACAUCUGGCAGUACAGGUGGCUGCUCAUUAAACCAAGGAGCACCAUUGGAGAUUUAUUUUGAAUUCUAUCACUCCUUACAAAAAUAUUAUGAAAUUGCAAAAGUAACCUUCACUGAUUAUUUUCUAUUGAAUUUUUAUUAAUCAAUAUCUCUUCCUGAACUGCAUUUAAAUUAAUAGCCUUGAGCAGUUUGUAAUUGAUCCUGCAGGUCAGCUACCCUGAUGCACAGCACACAUCGACUUUCCUCCCUAGUGAUGUUUCGUCUUCCAAUGUAAACUGGAGUAAAAGAAAGAAAGAUAGAAGAAGAAAGAAAAUGCUAUUGAAUUGCAGCUCACCUUAUUCCACCACAGAAUGCAGCCACAGCCUGCACCUAGGCUCAAGGUCUAACAGCACCUGCAGUUUGGAUGAACCAUUAAUUCCAACAGAAGCAGCAUGACACUCAGAGUUGAGAAGGACAGUCACUUUUGAAAUGGAGUGAUUUCUGAGAAUGAUAUAGGUUGGAUAUUAGAUAACCAACACAAAAUCCACAGUUUUCUAAAAAACAAUACUCUUUUUUCUUCCAAAAUCACCCCAGCAAUAGUUUCAGUUACAAAGAACACAAGGCAUCGUGUCACCAGCUUGCUGUCCUGAUUAUUUUCUUGAGCAUCAGCUUGAAAAAGAUUGAGUAGUUUCUGUCUGUGUGCAUCCACGCAUCUGUUAAGCUAAAUAGAUUGAAGGGAUUGCAAAAUACUAUCAGGCAAAGAACUGAUUUCUGUGCUUUUUAUAGAUGGAAAUGACUAGCUACUCAAAGUAAUUUUUUUUAUUUCAUAAAAUAAACACAGUAACUUAAAAUACAGAGUAAUGUCUAAAGCUUAAGUUAUGCCAUCCUUAUCAAGUUUCUCAGAAAACAUGUAUUAUGUCUGCUGUUUGGAUACAUGCAAAUACAUUAUCAGUGUGAAAGAACCUCAAAUAAAUGAAUAUAUCAAAUAUUACCAAUACUGGAUGUUCUUAUACCAUGUGAAUACCAAAAAUUUCCAUGAAAAGCCUAAUCUUAAUAAUAUUAAUUCAACAGCAAAAAGGAUAUAAUAAUAUUUCCUUUCCUUCCCCCAUGACAUACUGUAGUUUAAACCAUAAGUGUUUAUUAAUUUAUGUAAAAUUCUGCUCUGGGUUUGCAUAUAGCUUGGUGUAAGAAAUUAUUGUUUUAUCUGACUAGGCACAUAUGAAUCAUUGUAUGAUAGUUUGAUGCAUACAUAUAUAUAUAUAUAUAUAUAUAUACAUAUGUAUGUGUAUAUAGAUAUAAUGCAGCUGUAAUAAGCUUGGAGAGGAUCACAGGAGGUGGUUGCAGCCACCACAAGCCUAAACAAUCUAGAGCAUCAUCUUCACAUUUAAUGCCAUUCAUCAUCCUGCAUGAAUUAUGUUAGGGAAUCAACUGUUUAGCUGCUUGUGGAUAGAAUGUACACAGGUGUAAAAGAACAAACUCAGCGAAGUCAGAGCAUAAAUUACCAUAACAGGAGUAAAAUGGCACAAAUAUAUCUGAAAUUCUUGUUAUUUUCAUUUUUAUAAAAGCAGUUCAAGUAAACUGCAGCCAUGAUUUUAAGGUAACCAUAUUUCCAAUCACUAGGAGCUGUACUAUUUUAGGCUUAAAAUCCUUAAAUGGCAGUUUUCUUUAUUCUGCUCUGCCUACAAUAGAAAAAUUUGAAACUAAUGGCAAAAAAAAAACCCAAUGAGCUGUGUUUCUUCCAUCUGUAUAGUUACAAAAAGAAGGAAAACAAGGGGAAAAAACACAUAAGUAUCUACCAGGUUCUGCCCUGAUCAAGAUACUUGCCUCAUUGUGUCUAUUAUAAAUGUUUUCACGACUUUGGUUCAAAUUUGGAUCUGAAACAAAAUAUAUAUUUGCUACUUAUUGAGAAUGUUAUGGGAAUAACAUUAAUAUACAAAGGUAGCAAUACCUCUUUAACAAAUAUUAUCUAGUCAUAACAUUCUGGCCCAUGGAUUGCUGAAACAAUUGUUACUGGGGAGAGGUUCUGACAGGAAGACUAAUAUCCCAAAGUAAAUUUGUUUUCAGGUCUCUUUUUAGAAAGGCUUUCUUUUUUCAGUUUAUUGCAGAAGGAUUGUGUAAUGGGGGACGUGGACAUUUCCCUGCAUGUGCCUUUCCCUGAGGGCUUCAUGGAGGAAGAAUUAUUGUAAACUCACAAUAUGCUCUAUGGAGCCAAAAGACAAGAAGAUUCUAUGGGGACACUGCUGCUCAGACAUACGCACUCUGUAAAAUUUGUAGAACUCCUUGUAUGGGUCUCUGCCACUCUAACUACCGGCAUAAAAGCUCUAAGAAAUUUCUGUCUAAUGUAACAACAUAUUGAUCACAAGCUCUUACAAUGACUUUUCUAAACGAGAUGUUACAAGAUAAUAGCUUCCAUGUCUCUAUGAGCUACUAGCAAAACUCAACAAAUUUCUCUUUUUCUCUUUUUUCAGAUUUUUUUGAAUGCCUUCUUUUUGAUCUCAAGUUGCUCCAUAUCCAUUGUUAGUUUUCUCUUCAAUACCCACCUCUCUUAACUAUUGGCUUAUUGUUAUAUCUGGAUUUCCUUAUUUGUUGUGCUUAUUCUCUUUGCUUUUCAUCAGUUUUAUCUUCCUGUUCUAUUCUGGUUGCAUUUCUAGAAAUGUACUGUAGGAAUCCCACUUUUGGAAGUGGGAUUAAACAUUUCUGUGACUCUGAUAAAUUGUCCCAAGACUUUUUGUUAUUAAACAUCUUAAAAUUGUAUAGAGAUGCUUAAUUACUUCUAUCAGAUGAGGAAUGAAUAAAUGCACCAAGAACAACACAGUGUUGUCUUAUUAUUUAGCAGGCAAAACACUAUGCCCAGAUAUCCUGAUCUGAUGGAAUUAGGAAACUGAUUGCAACAUAGACUCAGUUCACUUCAUAUUACUAUAACUACUUAUAUUUUAGUAGGUAUAGUAGGAAUGUUUACCAUGAAACAAGCAAGCAAAACAGAAAAUAGAAAAUUUGACAGAGCAGUUGCAUUUCAUUCAAGAAGAUAACUUUAAUAACUGAAGUAACCUUCAGCUGCAGCUCCUGAUUCUUUUAGGCUUGAGGUAGAAACAAAUACAGGAAUUACAAAUUCUUUCAUCUUUGGACACUCACUUAAAACAUAUCACAGUGGCCUUGAGACAUUAUGAAGACCACAAGCCACCAUAAGGUAAGCCUGAAGACCAGCUGAAUGGUUCAGACAGACCAACAUGCAGCUUCUUGUCUUUCUUAACAUAGAUUAAAUCAGCUCACCCAAUUUCUGUGCUUGUUGUUUGGUUUCUUUUCAAAUCCUACUCUACUUCAAAAUAUUGUCAUAUGUGCCUUGAAAGGAUUGUUAACUACUUUUGAAGGAUAAUCUAUCAUGCUGCACAUUACCAGGGAAACCUCACGCUUAACUUUGUAAGAUGAAAGGGCCCAGAUUCAAACUUACCAAGUGUGGAUUCAGGGAAUUCCUAUAAAAUGGAUCCUGGAUGAAAAAAUAAUGUUUACUGGAGUUUUGCUGCCUCUAGGACAUCCCUUUUGGUAAGUCUUACUGAUGAAAGAAGCUGUGAACUGGCUCUGAUAUACCCCCUCAGAAAUAACAAGAAGUAUUUUAUACCUCUGAAAUGAGCAACUUUUAAUCUCUGGGAGAUAGUUUACGUAAUAGAUCCAUUGACUAUCCAGGGGAAAUGGUGAACUUCUAAAGCUUCCUAGUAUCUUGCUGAUACAAUCUAUUGUAGUGCCAGGAGAAAUUUGUGCAAAAUACUGAAGAAACAGUUCUGACACUAUUGUGCUGAGAUUAUCAGAAUUGCUAAGAAAACUGACACAAAAAACUGGUAAUGCGUAGGUUUCAAAGCUGGUUUAAUCUAGUGUUUUUAGAAGAUUAAAGACAAGCACUAACAACAAGCACUUCUUUUUAAAAGACCUUUUAUUGAAAAGAAUGCCCAUAAUACCUCUUAUCCAAUCCAGUAUUUUAUCAGUCAUUUAUUUACAAUGUUUA
rnacentral:lncRNA from 1 species